rnacentral:ncRNA from 1 species
AGACUCUGGAGAAUCUCAGUAUUGAGUGCCGAAGGUGCAAGGUUUUAACCGAAUCUCUCAGGCAAAAGGACAGAGCAG